rnacentral:rRNA from 1 species
GAAUAUUGGACAAUGGGCGAAAGCCUGAUCCAGCCAUGCCGCGUGUGUGAAGAAGGUCUUCGGAUUGUAAAGCACUUUAAGUUGGGAGGAAGGGCAGUAAGCGAAUACCUUGCUGUUUUGACGUUACCGACAGAAUAAGCACCGGCUAACUCUGUGCCAGCAGCCGCGGUAAGACAGAGGGUGCACUCGUUAAGCGGAAUUACUGGGCGUAAAGGCUGCGUAGGUGUUUCGUUUAGUUGGAUGUUAAAGCCCCGGGCUCAACCUGGGAACUGCAUCCAAAACUGGCGAGCUAGAGUAGGGCAGAGGGUUGUGGAAUUUCCUGUGUAGCGGUGAAAUGCGUAGAUAUAGGAAGGAACACCAGUGGCGAAGGUGACCACCUGGGCUCAUACUGACACUGAGGUGCGAAAGCGUGGGGAGCAAACA